ACACACACACACACACACACACACACACAGAUACGUCUUAGGGGUUGGCUGUCUGUUGAAUCCUAGGAUUAGACUAAGACCCAUGUGCAUAGGACUCUGACCACUAUGCCAUCUUGCCUGCCCCUGCAUCUGGCUUCUAUGUAGUAUCUCUUUGCCUCCUAGUCACUUAUUUCUUCUUAUUCUAAAACAAAGGGCUGGAGACGGUUGCUAGUUUACAAGUCCAUCUUUAGCACAGAAUCGUGUAUUUGGAAACGAAUGGCAAGGGCUGAUAUCCCUCAGUGGUCAUAUGUGUCCUCGGCACACACGGAUUUCCAAUCUCUUGUAAUAAAAAAAGACCAAAGCAAAGCCUGCGUGUGUAAGACAAAAAUGGAACUAUUUCUGUGAAGCGCUGUGGGCCCCCUUACCUGUUCUCCCAGUAAAAUCUAUUUGAAAUACUAGGUCUCAGGGUUGGGGGUGCAGCUUCCUGGUAACACACUUGCCUCUCGUGUGCCUGUCCAUGGGUUCGCUCCCUGGCUCAACAAAGGGAGACAAAACCAAUCUCUGCACAUCUCUUCUCUCUUCAAAAAUAAGCAAGAGGCUAUUAUCUACGUGACCUGUAAGCAGAAACAGUGCUCCCUUCUGAAUCCCAGGUGCCAUGGAUAUAAAACAGAACAGAUAUCAGGGCUGGAGAGGGAGAGCACAGCACACCAGUUAAGAGCAGUUCUUGCUGCUUUAGCAAAGAAUCCAGGUUCGGUUCCCAGUGCUGACAGCAGGUGGUUCAUAACCUCCUCCAACUCCAGCUCCGGGAUAUCCAGUAUCCAGUACUCUUUUCUCGCCUCCAUAGACACACAUGGAUACAGAUUUACACACACACACACACACAAAUAAUAACAAUAUGUCUUGAAAAAGGGUAGAUGUAUUUACCCACAGCGUACCCUAACCCAUCCGACAGCAUAAAUUUCCGGCAAUGGAGUUUAUCGGCUGCCUAGAACUACCCCGGGCUGUACGGGCUGUAGCGAGUGUGGCCGUACAUCUUGCAGUCAGAUAAGUGAGGAUCGUGAACUAAUGUUGGUUCCAGAUGGUUGUUUUCUUGUAUUGUCUUUUUUAAAAGUGCUGCCAGCUGAGAAGGGGAACAUACUGUUUAUAAAUAUGUUUUGAAAACAUUUGCCAAGCAUUUGGUGGAAUCCUUAAUAAAGCCGUAAGUCUCCUGCAUACAUCU
rnacentral:lncRNA from 1 species